UACGGAGGGGGCUAGCGUUGUUCGGAAUUACUGGGCGUAAAGCGCACGUAGGCGGCGAUCUAAGUCAGAGGUGAAAGCCCGGGGCUCAACCCCGGAAUAGCCUUUGAGACUGGAUUGCUAGAAUCUUGGAGAGGCGGGUGGAAUUCCGAGUGUAGAGGUGAAAUUCGUAGAUAUCGGGAGGAACACCGGUGGCGAAGGCGGCGAUCUGGGGUCGAUACUGACGCUGAGGUGCGAAAGCGUGGGGAGCAAACAGG
rnacentral:rRNA from 1 species